rnacentral:pre_miRNA from 14 species
UUUCCCCAUUGUGCCUGAAAGAUCCCCAAAGAGAGACCCUUACUCAAAUCUCGGGAAAUUGCAGACCCCAGACACAGAGAGACCA